GACGAACGCUGGCGGCGUGCUUAACACAUGCAAGUCGAACGGAAAGGCCCUGCUUUUGUGGGGUGCUCGAGUGGCGAACGGGUGAGUAACACGUGAGUAACCUGCCCUUGACUUUGGGAUAACUUCAGGAAACUGGGGCUAAUACCGGAUAGGAGCUCCUGCUGCAUGUUGGGGGUUGGAAAGUUUCGGCGGUUGGGGAUGGACUCGCGGCUUAUCAGCUUGUUGGUGGGGUAGUGGCUUACCAAGGCUUUGACGGGUAGCCGGCCUGAGAGGGUGACCGGCCACAUUGGGACUGCGAGACGGCCCAGAAUCCAACGGGAGGCAGCAGUGGGGAAUAUUGCACAAUGGGCGGAAGCCUGAUGCAGCAACGCCGCGUGCGGGAUGACGGCCUUCGGGUGGUAAACAGCUUUCGCCUGUGACGAAGCGUGAGUGACGGUAAUGGGUAAAGAAGCACCGGCUAACUACGUG
rnacentral:rRNA from 1 species